rnacentral:lncRNA from 1 species
CCAGUUUUUCCAAUAAGCAUGUCCCAUGUAAAUGAGCAAGAAAAUGCUUGGGGGGACCACCCAUCGAGCUAUCGAGAAGACACAACUUCUGAGCUGAGACCCUCAAGUACCCAGGCAAGAGCGAAGAAUGCUUCUGGUAUCAGCUGAUGGAGCUGCAUCUCCAGUCAAUACACACCUGUGGAGAGGGUAAUUUUGGAGAAGCUUAAUGAGCUGGACGUGAAGAUUACCCAUCUAACUUCAGUGGUCCAGUCCCUUGCCCCUCGGUAAAGUGGUCAAAUGGAGGUGGACACUGAGGAUGACACCUUUCCUAUUGAAACAAUGGAGGACCUUGAACAACUGAAAAGGCAAUUAGCUGAAAAACCAAUGAUGGAGAAGAUGAUGAAGAGGUUAUCCAUCAGAGGAGGACAAACUCUAAAAAAAAACAUUUGGCGUGUAUGCUCCAAAGUGUUUGGUCCAGUGGCCAAACAGCUCAACUGGUGUGGAAGAGGAGAUAAAAGAGGCCUAAAAAACACAAAUAUUGGGACACUUGUGAUAGGUGCAGCUAUGAGGAACCCCGUGCUUCCGUCUCCAACAGAGGCAGAAGCCGAAAAAUAUUUGAAAGACUUUCUCCGCUUGGCCCCAGGAAGAAUGGCCUCUUAAGCGAGUUGCUAUUUUUUAUUUAUUUUUUUGCUGCAAUUGGUUUUGUUUGCUUCAAAAAAU